UACGGAGGAUGCAAGCGUUAUCCGGAAUGAUUGGGCGUAAAGCGUCCGCAGGUGGCAAUGUAAGUCUGCUGUCAAAGCGUCUGGCUCAACCAGAUAAAGGCAGUGGAAACUACAUAGCUAGAGUAAGGUAGGGGUAGAGGGAAUUCCUGGUGUAGCGGUGAAAUGCGUAGAGAUCAGGAAGAACACCGGUGGCGAGAGCGCUCUGCUGGACCUUAACUGACACUGAGGGACGAAAGCUAGGGGAGCGAAUGGG
rnacentral:rRNA from 1 species